GUGAGUCAUCGAGUCUUUGAACGCACCUCGCGCCUUUUUGGUACUCCGAAAGGCAUGCCUGUUUGAGUGUCAUGAAACCUCAAUCCCCUCGGGUCCCUGACCCGGACGGACUUGGACUUGGGUGUCUUGCCGUGCCACAGCCGGCUCACCUCAAAGGACUCAGCGGGACGAGCGCCCCGUGGCCGAGACGUGAUAGGGUUUCGUCUGGGGCCGGGCGUGACGUCUGCUCAGAGCACCCCCGUGUUUAUUUGUUUGACCUCAGAUCAGGUAGGGCUACCCGCUGAACUUAAGCAUAUCAAUAAGCGGAGG
rnacentral:rRNA from 1 species